rnacentral:rRNA from 1 species
AAAUUGAAGAGUUUGAUCAUGGCUCAGAUUGAACGCUGGCGGCAGGCCUAACACAUGCAAGUCGAGCGGAAACGAGUUAUCUGAACCUUCGGGGAACGAUAACGGCGUCGAGCGGCGGACGGGUGAGUAAUGCCUAGGAAAUUGCCCUGAUGUGGGGGAUAACCAUUGGAAACGAUGGCUAAUACCGCAUGAUGCCUACGGGCCAAAGAGGGGGACCUUCGGGCCUCUCGCGUCAGGAUAUGCCUAGGUGGGAUUAGCUAGUUGGUGAGGUAAGGGCUCACCAAGGCGACGAUCCCUAGCUGGUCUGAGAGGAUGAUCAGCCACACUGGAGCUGAGA